UGGCCGGACGGGGCCCGCGGCAGCCGCGUCACCGGGAUCUACCACGUCAACGGCGGAGGCGGCGCUGCCGGGAAAGGUCCCUACAACACCUACAAGCCCAGCUCGGAGGUGGCGGAACCGCCGGCAUCGGUGGGUGACGUCGUUUGGGGGGUUCCUCAGCCCAAGAUUGACCUGGAACCCCAAUUUUGAUCCCAAAACCCAAACCGGGAGUCCCAAAGCCACGACCGGUGACCUCAAAAUGCCCAAGCCCCCAGCUGUGACCUCACAGCCCCAAUCUCGAUCUCCAGAACUCAAAUUGUGACCUCAAAACCCCAAUUUCGAUCUCCAGAACUCAAAUUGUGACCUCAAAACCCCAAUUUUGAUCUCCAGAACUCAAACUGUGACCUCAAACCCCCAAUUUCGAUCUCCAGAACUCAAACUGUGACCUCAAAACCCUAAACCCGACCCCAAACCCCCUCACCUCGACCCCCAAAACCAAAACUGUCACCCCAAAACCUCCAACCUCCACCCCAAGUUCCCAAUUUUCAACCCCAAACCCCGAACUCCAGCCCAAACCCCGAAUUUUGAUCUUCAAAACCCCAAAUUUUGACCUUCAAAACCCCAAAUUUUGAUCUUCAAAACCCCAAAUUUUGACCUUCAAAACCCCAAAUUUUGACCUUCAAAACCCCAAAUUUUGACCUUCAAAACCCCAAAUUUUGACCUUCAAAACCCCAAAUUUUGACCUUCAAAACCCCAAAUUUUGACCUUCAAAACCCCAAAUUUUGACCUUCAAACCCCAAAUUUUGACCUUCAAAAUCCCAAAUUUUGACCUUCAAACCUCAAAUUUUGACCUUCAAAACCCCAAAUUUUGAUCUUCAAAAUCCCAAAUUUUGAUCUUCAAAACCCCAAAUUUUGACCUUCAAAACCCCAAAUUUUGACCUUCAAAACCCCAAAUUUUGACCUUCAAAACCCCAAAUUUUGACCUUCAAACCCCCAACCUCCACAGCCAGACUCCCAGCCUUGACCUCGCAUCCCCAACAUUAACCCCCAAAACCCCCGUUUUUGACCCCAAACCUUAACCCUCAGCCCCCUCCCCAUUUUUCAGGUGCUGGCAGAAGGUGCAGCAGCCCUGUGACCCCCCCACGGCUGGGAGGGGGUGACCAAGGUGCCCCCCCGGACCCCCGGGGGUGACCAAGGUGCCCCCCCGGACCCCCGGCACCAUCGGGCAGCAACCGAAGCCCUCGGAACCCUCAUUUUUGGGGGGAAAAAAGGCGGGAUCGGGAUCCUCUGUGAGAGAGGAGAGGUCCUCCCACGGUCCUUUU
rnacentral:lncRNA from 1 species